rnacentral:rRNA from 1 species
AGUGAACGCUGGCGGUAGGCCUAACACAUGCAAGUCGAACGGCAGCACAGUAAGAGCUUGCUCUUACGGGUGGCGAGUGGCGGACGGGUGAGGAAUACAUCGGAAUCUACUUUUUCGUGGGGGAUAACGUAGGGAAACUUCCGCUAAUACCGCAUACGACCUACGGGUGAAAUCAGGGGAUCUUCGGACCUUGCGCGAUUGAAUGAGCCGAUGGCGGAUUAGCUAGUUGGCGGGGUAAAGGCCCACCAAGGCGACGAUCCGUAGCUGGUCUGAGAGGAUGAUCAGCCACACUGGAACUGAGACACGGUCCAGACUCCUACGGGAGGCAGCAGUGGGGAAUAUUGGACAAUGGGCGCAAGCCUGAUCCAGCCAUACCGCGUGGGUGAAGAAGGCCUUCGGGUUGUAAAGCCCUUUUGUUGGGAAAGAAAAGCAGCAGGUUAAUACCCCGCUGUUCUGACGGUACCCAAAGAAUAAGCACCGGCUAACUUCGUG